AACUUUCAACAACGGAUCUCUUGGCUCUCGCAUCGAUGAAGAACGCAGCGAAAUGCGAUAAGUAAUGUGAAUUGCAGAAUUCAGUGAAUCAUCGAAUCUUUGAACGCACCUUGCGCNCCUUGGSAUUCCGAGGNGCAUGCCUGUUUGAGUGUC
rnacentral:rRNA from 1 species